rnacentral:rRNA from 1 species
UACGUAGGGCGCAAGCGUUAUCCGGAAUUAUUGGGCGUAAAGAGCUCGUAGGCGGUUUGUCGCGUCUGCCGUGAAAGUCCGGGGCUCAACUCCGGAUCUGCGGUGGGUACGGGCAGACUAGAGUGAUGUAGGGGAGACUGGAAUUCCUGGUGUAGCGGUGAAAUGCGCAGAUAUCAGGAGGAACACCGAUGGCGAAGGCAGGUCUCUGGGCAUUAACUGACGCUGAGGGACGAAAGCUAGGGGAGCGAAUGGG